rnacentral:rRNA from 1 species
GUCUACAGCCAUACCACCCUGAACAGGCCCGAUCUGGUCUGAUCUCAGAAACUAAGCAUGGUCGGGCCUGGUUAGUACUUGGAUGGGAGACCACCUGGGAACACCGGGUGCUGUAGGUU